GCUGGUGUAGCUCAACUGGUAGAGCAACUGAUUUGUAAUCAGUAGGUUGGGGGUUCAAUUCCCUUCACUAGCU
rfam:Nannochloropsis gaditana chloroplast, complete genome.